CUAAUACAUGCAAGUCGAGCGGGGAAGCGGGCUCUGACCUUCGGGUCAAAGCCCGCACUCCCAGCGGCGAACGGGUGAGUAACACGUGGGUAACCUGCCCUGCAGUUUGGGAUAACUUCGGGAAACCGGAGCUAAUACCGAAUAAUUCUCCUGAACGCAUGUUUAGGAGCUGAAAGAUGGCGCAAGCUAUCGCUGCAGGAUGGGCCCGCGGCGCAUUAGCUAGUUGGUGGGGUAACGGCUCACCAAGGCGACGAUGCGUAGCCGACCUGAGAGGGUGAUCGGCCACACUGGGACUGAGACACGGCCCAGACUCCUACGGGAGGCAGCAGUAGGGAAUCUUCCGCAAUGGACGCAAGUCUGACGGAGCGACGCCGCGUGAGUGAAGAAGGCCUUCGGGUCGUAAAACUCUGUUGUUAGGGAAGAACAAGUACGAGAGUCACUGCUCGUACCUUGACGGUACCUAACGAGGAAGCCCCGGCUAACUACGUGCCAGCAGCCGCGGUAAUACGUAGGUGGCAAGCGUUGUCCGGAAUUAUUGGGCGUAAAGCGCGCGCAGGCGGCUUCUUAAGUCUGAUGUGAAAUCUCGCGGCUCAACCGUGAGCGGUCAUUGGAAACUGGGGAGCUUGAGUACAGAAGAGGAGAGCGGAAUUCCACGUGUAGCGGUGAAAUGCGUAGAGAUGUGGAGGAACACCAGUGGCGAAGGCGG
rnacentral:rRNA from 1 species